CGCGUAGGCGGCCUGAUAAGUAUGGGGUGAAAUCUCACGGCUCAACCGUGAGGCUGCCUUGUAGACUGUCAGGCUUGAGCACGGUAGAGGCAGAUGGAAUUCCCGGUGUAGCGGUGGAAUGCGUAGAGAUCGGGAAGAACACCAGUGGCGAAGGCGGUCUGCUGGGCCGUAGCUGACGCUGAGGCGCGACAGCGUGGGGAGCAAACAGGAUUAGAUACCCUGGUAGUCCACGCCGUAAACGAUGGGCACUAGGCGUCGGGGGGAGCGACCCUCCCGGUGCCGUCGCUAACGCUGUAAGUGCCCCGCCUGGGGAGUACGGCCGCAAGGCUGAA
rnacentral:rRNA from 1 species